rnacentral:rRNA from 1 species
AUUGAACGCUGGCGGCAUGCCUUACACAUGCAAGUCGAACGGCAGCACGGAUGCUUGCACCUGGUGGCGCGGGGCGAACGGGUGAGUAGUACAUCGAAACGUGUCCUGUAGUGGGGGAUCGCCCGGCGACAGCCGGUUUUAUAGCACAUACGAUCUGCGAGAGAAAGCGGGGGCCCUGCAGGUCUCGCUCUCAGAGGUGGCGCGGGCGGAUUAGCUAGUUGGUGGGGUAAAGGCCUACCAAGGCGACGAUCCGUAGCUGGUCUGAGAGGAGGAGCAGCCACACUGGGACUGAGACACGGCCCAGACUCCUACGGGAGGCAGCAGUGGGGAAUUUUGGACAAUGGGCGAAAGCCUGAUCCAGCAAUGCCGCGUGUGUGAAGAAGGCCUUCGGGUUGUAAAGCACUUUUGGUUGGGAAGAAAGCCUUGGCCCUAAUACGGUGGGGUGAUGACGGUACCGGAAGAAUAAGCACCGGCUAACUACGUG